UGUUUCAGCUGCCUAAACAGAACCUGAAUGUUGCAGAUAAAAUGAAGAAAAUAGUCACAUAUUCAGGAAGGGAUAUAAAGGUUAGUACCUGUGAAUAUCUUCCGUGGAGGCCAAAGGGAAAUCAAUAAGAAACUUCCAAGGCAAGAUAAAGAAGAUAUUACAUUCUGUCUCAGUGGAUUCUUCAUUCUUAAUCAUGUAUUUGAGAAAGAUGAUACUCAAUCAAUGUGUAAUGAGCCACAAGACUAUAUUUUUUCUGCUUCCUUUACUAGCAGAUGAUCUUUGAUUUUUCA
rnacentral:lncRNA from 1 species